rnacentral:rRNA from 1 species
GACGAACGCUGGCGGCGUGCUUAACACAUGCCAGUCGAACGGUGAAGCGCCUUCCUUUUUGGUGGGUGUGGAUGAGUGGCGAACGGGUGAGUAACACGUGAGUAACCUGCCCCCUUCUUCUGGAUAACCGCAUGAAAGUGUGGCUAAUACGGGAUAUUCUGGGUCUGUCGCAUGAUGGGUCUGGGAAAGAUAUUGUUUCGGUGGGGGAUGGGCUCGCGGCCUAUCAGCUUGUUGGUGGGGUGAUGGCCUACCAAGGCGGUGACGGGUAGCCGGCCUGAGAGGGUGGACGGUCACACUGGGACUGAGACACGGCCCAGACUCCUACGGGAGGCAGCAGUGGGGAAUAUUGCACAAUGGGCGCAAGCCUGAUGCAGCGACGCCGCGUGAGGGAUGGAGGCCUGCGGGUUGUGAACCUCUUUCGCCAGUGAAGCAGGCCUGCCUCGUUUGUGGGUGGGUUGACGGUAGCUGGAGAAGAAGCGCCGGCUAACUACGUG